CCCGCUUUUUUGUUUUUAUGUUUAUUUAUUUUAUUUUAUUUUUACGUCACUUUAUAUUUUUGGAUUGAUCACGCGAGUCUGAGCUUGCUCUGUGACUAGGCUGAGACUGCCUGUUCUUAAAACUAACUUGAGACACAGGGAUAGGAAAUACUUCAUAUAUAAGUUAAGCCUCCCUAUAUGAUAUCCAUAUAACAUAUACUCCAGGCAUUGAUGCUUCGCCCCCGAGCUGAAGAUACGGACAGAAAAAUUUUUUUGAUUAAAUCUGUAAUCAUUUGUCCAAUUACAUCCAUGGCUACACUGGUGCACUUGUUUGAGGUUUAACAGGGAUAUUCAGGAUCCCGGAUCCGCUGGGGUGGUUUGGCUUCUUGUGUGGAUUCGAACCUUGCGCCGGCAGAGGGGUGAGGAUGAUCCGCAUGGUUUACUAUCCCCAAAAUGGAUAUUUUUAGCUUGUUAAAUCUUCUCUAAUUCUGUUAUAGAUGCCAUCCCACGCGUGAAAGAGGGAUCAUAAAUAAACGCCUCCAGAGUCUCGGAUUGAUCUGGAAGGAAGAAUGUGAGGCAUGGAUUGGCUUUACGUUUUUUUUUUUUUUUUUUUCAUU
rnacentral:sRNA from 1 species